CCUCGUGCGUGCGCACGCGCGUUGUCCCCCGGAGGCGUCUGGGUGUGCGGCGCGCGCGCGCGCGGCUCGGAGGCGCACCUGUGAGGUGUCCCUAGAGGAGAGGGAGGGUGGGUGCGCGGAGCCCGCGGCCUGGGGCGCUUCAACCCCUCACUUCUAGGCGCCCGGCUUCCCGUCCGAGCCCGAGGAGCAUCCUGCGCAGGUGAUGAGGGGCCCCUGGCGCCUCCGGCGCGGAACACAGCCGCCGCUGGACGCCUCCAUUGUUUGACCACCGCCCGGGCCGAGUCUCAGCCAGCCGGCAGGACCCGAAGGCCUCUCUAGCCAUCCAGCCGUCGUGGGCCCUGCCUCUGCCACUGGCAUGUCUUGGGGGUUUUGACCCCUGGCACCAUGACCUGCAAAUCCACGGACACCUCUCUCUGGAAGACACGGGCGUCCUUGUCAAGAGCAGAAAAGUGUUUGUUUCUGUUCCUGUUCCAGGAGCCUGGAGCGUUGCCCUCGCAGGGCACCCUGCGUAGGGCGGGGCCGCACACCCUGAGCCACAGAAUUCACUUCCUGGGCCACUCCUGUCCGACACGUCGGAGGCAGGAUGUCAUCCUGACUCUUCGAGGGGAGCCUGCAGGGGACCGAGACCAGCACGUGGCAUCUCACCCUGUACUGCAAGGGACACUGCACGGUCUUCUCUCUGCAAGUGAGAAGGACGAGACUGCUCCACUAGAGAAAGGUUCCCUGGGCUUAAAACGCACAGGUUUGCACCUCGAGAGCCCCUUGGAAUGUUGACAACUCAGGGCCUAAAAGGGAGUUCUGUGUUGAUGAGUGCCAGGAUUCCUGUGGGAGUGGAGGCCACCUUAUAACCGAUAGCAGCGCUGAGUGAGGAACACUAUGCAGGACGGCACCUUCCGUAGAAAGACAGGCAGGGAGAUGCUCAGGCCGGCCACCACGCUCCCGGAGAGGGCAAGCCUGAGGCAGGCCGCCAGCACGGCCGCCUGAGAGACUCGGUGCCCCCGCCGCCCUGUACCUGUCGUGGUCGUGAGCAGCUUCUCCUCUGAGCCGCGGUACCAAAUAGGGAAAAUGAUCUACAAGUGCCCCAUGUGUAGGGAGUUUUUCUCUGAGAGAGCAGACCUUUUCAUGCACCAGAAAGUCCACACAGCCGAGAAGCCCCAUAAGUGUGACAAGUGUGACAAGGGUUUCUUUCACAUAUCAGAACUUCACAUCCAUUGGAGAGACCACACAGGGGAGAAGGUCUACAAAUGUGACGAUUGCGGUAAGGAUUUUAGCACCACCACCAAACUUAACAGACAUAAGAAAAUCCACACGGUGGAAAAGCCCUAUAAAUGCUAUGAGUGUGGCAAAGCCUUCAACUGGAGUUCACACCUUCAGAUUCACAUGAGAGUUCACACAGGCGAGAAGCCCUAUGUCUGUAGCGAGUGUGGGCGGGGCUUUAGUAAUAGUUCAAACCUCUGCAUGCAUCAGAGAGUCCACACCGGAGAGAAACCCUUCAAAUGUGAAGAGUGCGGGAAGGCCUUCAGGCAUACUUCCAGCCUCUGCAUGCAUCAAAGAGUCCACACUGGGGAGAAGCCCUAUAAAUGUUACGAGUGUGGGAAGGCCUUCAGCCAGAGCUCCAGCCUCUGCAUCCACCAGAGAGUGCACACCGGGGAGAAGCCCUAUAGAUGUUGUGGGUGUGGGAAGGCCUUCAGCCAGAGCUCCAGCCUCUGCAUCCACCAGAGAGUGCACACUGGGGAGAAGCCUUUUAAAUGCGAUGAGUGUGGGAAGGCCUUCAGUCAGAGCACCAGCCUCUGCAUCCACCAGAGAGUGCACACAAAGGAGAGAAACCAUCUCAAAAUAUCAGUUAUAUAAAGCGUUUUGCUAAGAGUUAAAAAUCUUAAAACCCAUAAGUGCCACUAGGAAGGAAACCCUGUAAAUACCUGCAUUGACUCAAGAAAUUUCACAGCAACCACUAGCAGAACACUCUUUUCAGAGAGGUAUGCGCAAGGCUGACUGUUGUGAUCCUCGCCCAGUGUGUCCCACCACUUGGCUUUGAAUCUGGAGUCCCUCCGGCUGUCCUCCCAGGACGGGCCGGGAGGUCCCAGUGCAGCCUCCAUGGCAGCGCGGGUUUGCGUCUCCUCGGAUCCCAGCCGACACCUCAGUGGCUGCACACUGCACAGGGAACCGUGGGCAUGGCCUAGCCUCCUGCGUCACCCUGCCCCGGCAGGCACCCCGGGGACUCCCCUCUCGACUCAGGCGUGCCCGUCCACAUGUUUGACACACACGGCCCCCACCGAGACAGUGCUCCGGCAUUUCUGAGGCCCCACUCGAUUCGACCCUGUGUAGGUCCCAUUAUUUCUGAACCCUCUGCCUCUGCCUGUAUGUCCUCAAAUACCUGUGAGACCCACCCCUUCCUAGGUGGCAUUGGAUUCCAUCAGAUUUUAGGUCACAGUUUCCAUUGGCCUGUUGGAGGAAUUGUUGGCAGACAUAUGUGCCCUUGAACUUUUUUUUUGUGUGUGGAUUCUGUUAAUCACUGCAUCUCAGUUAGACUUACGUUUCUAGUGGCUAUGUCACAUUUUUCAGUUGAAUUUUUUUUAAAUAGCUCAGUGUAAAUAGGGAGGAAGAAGCAAGCAAGGUUAGAGCUUUUCUCCAUCCAGCACUGCCCUCUGGGGCCCUUUUGUAACUCGGAGCUUCCUCGGAGCCAGGAGAAGCAGGCGCAGGGAAGAUGCCCUGUGACCUUUAGUCUCCGGUUCCUGGAUUUGGGGCGCUAAUGAACAGGAGUCCUCGGUAACCCCGUCGUUGAGGAUUAUGUAUUGGUUCUUUUUUCAGGCACGGAUGUCUGUGUUGAUUAUCCUUUUCUUUCUUCGUCCAUUCAACGAGUAUUUAUUGAACACCUCCUAUGUGCCAGGCACUGUGCUGGGUGCUGGGGAUAGACAGUCAAGGGCCCCUGCUUGUGGAGUUUACUGCUGGUGGAGGAGACAGGCGAUGCGCAAGUACACAGAUAAAUGAUGUAGUUUGAGAUAGUGAUUAAGUGCUAUGAAGAAAAUAAACUCGGGUGAUGAUUUAGCGGGGGAGGGGGUGGGGGCGGGGCAUCCGUAGGUAGCGGUCAGGCCAGGCCUUGCUGAGGGCUGCGGGCCUCCGGGGGGUUGUGGAGCGGGCAGAAAGUGGGCGCCGCGGCACGGGCACCGAGCUGCCCGGGGCCUGACAGUUCUAGGCCUUUUUUUUUUUUUUUGCUAGAUGAAUAUUAAAAACUCAUGUGGAAGAACUCAAGGAAUGUUUAGAAGACCAAAAGUCCCCAAUGACAGGAACAAAAAGCAUCUGAUUCGCAACCUCGUUUCUCUUCUCAUUCCUGUUUUCGUUGAUUUCCCACAUGUAGUCCUUUUGCUCAGGAAGUCUUGGGGACGUGGCGGAUCUUUGAGGCUCUGAAACGGGUGACCGUGUCCGUGGUGUCUGUCAGCUGUCACAGCGGUUGGACAGUGAGCCACCCAGAGUAGUCACGGAAAUACUGAAGCGAAGCCGAGUUGCUCACAUUUGCAUCCUCUGCUCUUUGACUGGAAGGGGUUUUGUGGAACGAAAACCUCAGAGCGAAAGGAGAUUCAGGAGGAGCACGUGAUUUCAUAGGUGGGCUGCGGAGGGACCCAGGGCCUGGGGUUCAGGGGCCCCUGUCUGGCUCAGACUCCGGACGCAGCGGGCACGCCCCUCGGGAGGCCCUUCUCUCUCACGCCCUCAACCGUUGGAGGGGGGCUGGUGCGUUCCAGUGGAGCCGCUCCCGGCCCAGGGUGCGACCGCCAGUGCCGCAAGUGUUUCAUUCACGCCUCGGGGGCACUAGGGGAGCCUAGACUUAGUCGGUAGGGAGCCAGUCAGAGUAUCAUUGGUAGAAUUUUAGUUUUAGGAGAAAUUGGUUUGAAUUCUAGCUUUACUACUAUUAGGUAUGUGAGCUUGGGCCAAUCACUUAACCUCUGAGUCUAGUUUUCUCACGAAACGAGGAUGUUAGGCUGAGCGGUUUCCAAGUGUCCGGCUAGUCCUAGAGGUCUAUAUUUCUACAUAGUUGAAUUAUUUUAUCAUGCUGUUGCUGGGGAAUAUGGCUAACACUUUGGAAGCUACUAAUUUUAUGUCAAGCUUUAAAUUCCAUGAUUGUUAUCUUCAGAAAAUAUUAUUUGACCUACAGUAUGUCCAAAUCAAUUUAAUAAAAUCACUUUAUAACAGG